GCUGAGUGUAGGAAAGUGAUGAGCCCUGACACCAGAACACCAUUUGAAAUCAAAGAUCGUUUUGUAUUUGUGUGGACACGGCCUGAAACAGGGGCUGACAGGCCUUGUCCAGCCCUUAAUCACCAGUUUGAGAUCCCUGCUUUAAAAGAAAUUUUACCUUAGAGAA